AAUAAGACAAAGAUGUGUAAGUUUUGUUGUGGAGCUAAUCAAACAGCUUGAGCAACGUCUGCCUGACAAUGUUCAAGUCUUGCAGUCAAUGUCCUUACUGAGUGCAGGUGAAUGCUUGCAACCCAUAAAGCCUGGAAUAAUAGAUCUAGCAAAGAUGUUCACUGAGAGUGAUGAAAUUUUGACACGAAUUGACUUCCAGUGGAGAAAUCUACAUAAAAUACUGUGGAAGAAAAAUACUGACACAUCAGAACUCUGGGCUGAAAUAUCUUCGCACACAGAUGCAACUGGAGAAAACCCCUUCAGUGAUCUUGCAGAAUUGGCUUUGACUGUCCUAACACUACCUCACUCGAAUGCAGAUGUGGAACGCAUCUUCAGUCACAUGAAUAUCGUGAAGUCAAAGCUACGAAAUCGGCUGAGUAUCAAAAGCUUAAAUGCGUUGCUGACUAUUAGAUAUGGACUACGAAGAAAUGGAAGCUGCUGCUAUGAUUACAAACUGCCUAAGGAAGUACUUCAAAGUAUUGGAACACUUAAAGCAUACGAGUCAUCACAAUCUCCAGCAGGAUGCUCACACACACAACCACAGCAGAGUGCCGCCACAGACGAAGAGAUUGGAGACUGGGAGCUGGCAGAUUUGGAGUAAAAGUUUCAGUGAUGAAGUUUGUGAUGGAGCAUGUGAGCAGAUUGAGGAUGGCUAGGCAGGCUGGGUGGUCUCUGCAGCCAGCCUGAUAGUAUCCACAUCACUCCACUCUCCCUUAUUCUCACCAAGGGAGGCAAUGCACCACAUCUCACGUAGGACGUGCUGCACCGGUGGCGAGGCGUCGAGGGAAGCACCUCUUUGUGUCCCAGCCCACCACUUUACUGAACACAUGAAGGUGCUCCAGAGUUUCAAGAAGGGUGGCACACAUACUUAGCUGCACUACAAGCUUUUGGAGGUCCAGCAACACACUGCACACUUCUUUCCUAAACGUGUGUGCAGAGUGCAAGACAGAGUGGCAAGGAUGGAGGAUGCAUCAACAUUAACAGCGUUAUUGGUUCAAGCUUUCUUUUUUUUGUGUGUGUGUUUGUGUGUGUGGAAAGAAGUGCACACAGUUUUAACCGAAGGAUUAUAUGUGUGUGUGUGUGUGUGUGUGUGGGCAGCUUUAUGGGCAAGUGUGCCAGUCAUUCCUUGAAUUCAAUGUUUUUCAUUUAGGGAAAAAUUGUUGUAUAUAAUUAGGUUUAUAGACAUUUUUGAGUGGGAAUGUUUAGACUGAUUAAAUAGUAAGUUUCUCUACUUUGUAGAGCUUUGCUGUUACUGUUCUGUGUAAGGUUUCAAGGGCCGUAUUCUACAAACCAUCAUAGCUAGUGAUGUGAUUGUAGACAAAAUGGUGCAUUUUAGACACAAGUCCCUCAAUGACAGGCUCUCACCUUGUGACUCGUCAUAAGUGCCAAGACAGGGUUCAGUCUGUUGUAGCGCUGCCAACCACUGUCUUAAAACUCUUCUCAGCAUGGUGAGAGCUUGUUUUAUGUACCAUGGCAUGAUCCCCGACAGUUUUUGAUAUUAAUUAAUGAUAAAUAUCUGUAAUGAUGGCUAAAUAAUGUCCUUUGAUGGAGUAAUUUAUCAUUAUAGAUAACUGCCAAGAGG
rnacentral:misc_RNA from 1 species